GGGGGUGUAGCUCAUCUGGUAGAGCGUGUGCUUAGCAUCUUCACUGUCAUGCACAAGGUACUGGGUUCGACUCCCAGCUCCUCCA
rfam:Coniochaeta ligniaria NRRL 30616 unplaced genomic scaffold CONLIGscaffold_3, whole genome shotgun sequence.